rnacentral:misc_RNA from 1 species
CUGUAACGUAAAUAAACUUUAUAGUCCGAUUUAUUGAUAUUCAUGGUAAUAAAAUGCAUAAAUUGACGUUGUUUGUGUUUUUAUUGAAAAUAAACAAAAGUACGAUAAUUUUCUUGUCAGUACCAUAAUUUUACGGCCCUGAUACCAUAAUUUAGUCUGUCAAGGUUGGGAAUACUGCGUAGCAGCAAACCGUAGUAUACUUCGGCAUAAGCAAUGCCCAGUCCAUUCUGUAUGGUCUAUGACAGUCUAUGAUAUUGAUCACUAACUGUCGAAAAACGUCAGAAUAAACAAAAUUAUGUUAUGCGAAGCCCUGAAGUUGUUUAAUCGCUGUGAUGACUUCGUCUAUUGAAUCUGUUGUGUACUUGGGACUCGCUGCUCUGCUGUGGGGUGCUACCAAUCCGUUCAUCAAAAAAGGAUCCGAAGGCUUGCAGUAUGUCAAAGCAAGCUCACCGUGCAGACAAUUAGCCAAAGAAGUUGUGUUUCUCGUCACAACCUUGAAAUAUAUAAUACCAUUUGUAAUCAAUCAGUGUGGUUCGGUCCUUUACUUUCUUGCACUUCAAAGUGCAGACCUGUCUCUGGCUGUACCAGUUUCAAACUCACUCACGUUUGUAUUCACCGCAAUUAGUGGAUGGUUUUUGGGUGAAGAGAAAUCCGACAGAAUCACGUCAGUUCCAGCCGACUGUACAAAAAAUCCUAAUGCAUCUACAUUUCUGAUGUUUAGAUACCUAUAUUGGCAUGGUACUAAUAUCAGUUGGAAUAACGCUAUGCUGCAUUGACAAAUUGGAUGCUUCCGUACAACAACUGAAAUAACCUUCCAAUGUUGGUGACAAUAGUUUAUUUCUAAUACCGACGACAUAGAGAUCAGUUAAUAUGAGGACCAGUAGAAGUCUUGGGGGCAUUCAAUCGGCUGAGCAUCAGAGAAGUCUUAUGGCGUUGGACACAAUCGUGACGCUUCCAUGGACGCGUGUGCAGUAUCCAUCGAUUCCUGUGCAGGCUAGAACUGCUGGGACGGCGUGCCGGAGGAUGGACUGCGGACCGGCACUCAAUUUAAGCGUUGCCUCACUGCCGCGGAUAACCGUUACCAAUUCAAUCUACAAGGUCGUCCGAUGAAACCGACACCUGCAAGCUCGAAUCCGACUCUGAAAUACGUAGUUGGGCGAGGGUUGUUGCGCCAACAGCUUUGGCAACUAUUUCAUGUGCAGUAAUUGCGGAGAGUGCAAGUUUAUCGCACCGCAAUUAA